rnacentral:rRNA from 1 species
GACGAACGCUGGCGGCGUGCUUAACACAUGCAAGUCGAACGGAAAGGCCCCGUUGUGGGUACUCGAGUGGCGAACGGGUGAGUAACACGUGCGUAACCUUCCCUUGACUUCGGGAUAACUUCAGGAAACUGGGGCUAAUACCGGAUAGGAAUCAUUGCUGCAUGGUGGGGGUUGGAAAGCUUCGGCGGUUUUUGAUGGACUCGCGGCUUAUCAGCUUGUUGGUGGGGUAGUGGCUUACCAAGGCUUUGACGGGUAGCCGGCCUGAGAGGGCGACCGGCCACAUUGGGACUGAGGUACGGCCGCGGCUCCUACGGGAGGGAGCAGGGGGGAAUAUUGCACAAGCGGCGGAAGCCGGGUGCAGCAACGCCGCGGGCGGGAAGACGGGCUUAGGGUUGUAAACCGCUUUCAGCAGGGGCGAAGCUUGUGGUGACGGUACCUGCAGAAGAAGCACCGGCUAACUACGUG